UUCCGGUUGAUCCGCGCCGGACCUGACUGCUAUCGGAUGAUAUUAAGCCUGCGGAGUCAUUGUAGCAAUACCAGGGCAGACGCGCUCUGUAACGCGUAGUCAACUUAACCUAUGGACGGGAAUAACCUCGGGAAACUGAGAAUAAUGCCCGAUAGAACACUAUCCUGGAAAUGGUUUUGUGUUCCAAAUGAUUUAUCCCCGUAGGAUGGGACUGCGGCCUAUCAAGUUUUUUGGUGAGGUAAUGGCCCCACCAAGUCUAUUACAGGUACGGGCUCUGAGAGGAGUAGCUCCGGGAGAUGGGUACUGAGACACGGACCCAGGCCCUAUGGGGCGCAGCAGGCGAGAAAACUUUGCAAUGUGCGAAAGCACGACAAGGUUAAUCCGAGUGGUUUCUGCUAAAGGAACCUUUUGACAGUCCUAGAAACACUGUUGAAUAAGGGGUGGGCCAAGUUCUGGUGUCAGCCGCCGCGGUAAAACCAGCACCUCAAGUGGUCAGGAUGAUUAUUGGGCCUAAAGCAUCCGUAGCCUGCUUUGUAAGUUUUCCGUUAAAUCCAUACGCUCAACGUAUCGGCUGCCGGGAAUACUGCAAAGCUAGGGAGUGGGAGAGGUAGACGGUACUCGGUAGGAAGGGGUAAAAUCCUUUGAUCUAUUGAUGACCACCUGUGGCGAAGGCGGUCUACCAGAACACGUCCGACGGUGAGGGAUGAAAGCUGGGGGAGCAAACCGGAUUAGAUACCCGGGUAGUCCCAGCUGUAAACUAUGCAAACUCGGUGAUGCAUUGGCUUGAUGCCAAUGCAGUUCCGCAGGGAAGCCGUUAAGUUUGCCGCCUGGGAAGUACGUUCGCAAGUAUGAAACUUAAAGGAAUUGCCGGGGGAGCCCCACAAGGGGUGAGGCCUGCGGUUCAAUUGGAUUCAACGCCGGA
rnacentral:rRNA from 1 species